GAUGAACGCUAGCGGCAGGCUUAAUACAUGCAAGUCGUGGGGCAGCAGGACUGUAGCAAUACAGUUUCUGGCGACCGGCAAACGGGUGAGAAACACGUACCCAACUUACCCUUAACUGGGGGAUAGCCCGGGGAAACCCGGAUUAAUACUCCGUGAUCUAAUGGAGUGGCAUCACUUUAUUAUUAACGCUCCUGCGGUUCGGGCUCGGCGUGGGGCUGCUUAGGUAUUUGGUUGAGGUAACGGCUGACCAAGCCUAGGAUCAGUAACUGGUGGGAGAGCAGGACCAGUGAGAGGGGGACUGAGACAAGGGCCAGAGAGAUACGGGAGGGAGUAGUAAGGAAGGUUGGGGAAUGGAGGAAACUCCGACCCAGCCAUGCCGGGUGGAGGAUGAAGGCGCUCUGGAUUGUAAACUUCGGGUAUAGGGGAGGAAACGUGUGUAUUCUUACGCAGUUGACGGUACUCUAGGAAGAAGCACCGGCUAACUACGUG
rnacentral:rRNA from 1 species